rnacentral:lncRNA from 1 species
AAAUAACAACUGAAUGUAAUCAAAUCAUAUUGCAAGCAUGUACAUGGUUUCAAAUCACCCCCCAACUAAGGGGGUUUAGUUCCUCAUUCUUGCAAUACAAAGAUACAUAAAAUUAGACAUUAAAAUCAAAGGAAAGAAAACACCUAAAAUGCUCCAACUUGGAAAGCAAGUGCAUCAAUGGAUCUCCCUUCCUCCUUGUUGCGGCAUGAAGCUUGUGGACAGAUUUUUGGGUGGAUUUAUGGUGUAGAAUGGAUGGGGAAUGAUAUGGAGGGGUUUAGGGUGAGUGUGGAAGAGUGUUUGAUGGUUGGAAGGUGGUGGAAAACUAGGCAAAGAGGGUGGAAGAAGGUGGAGUGGUUGUUAUGUUUUCUAGGCACUAGAAUGGUGUUUUUGGGGUGUUUUGCUUCCUAGGGUGUGUAAGGACGAAUUUCUGUGAUAAAAUGAUGAAUAUGGGGGAUUGUCCUUUGGCCAAGGGGUGUAAACAUGUAUUUAUAGGCCCCAAAAACCUUAGAAAAUAAGGUUAGGUUAAGGAUGAAAUGCAUGGCAAUUUGUGUGUGUGGUGUGCAAUGGUCCAAGG